rnacentral:rRNA from 1 species
UACGUAGGGGGCGAGCGUUGUCCGGAAUCACUGGGCGUAAAGCGCGCGUAGGCGGCUCGGUGCAUCCGGUGUGAAAGCCCUCGGCUCAACUGAGGGAGGUCACUGGAGAUGGCCGGGCUGGAGGACCGUAGGGGCAGAGGGAAUUUCCGGUGGAGCGGUGAAAUGCGUAGAGAUCGGAAAGAACACCAACGGCGAAAGCACUCUGCUGGGCCGACACUGACACUGAGAGACGAAAGCUAGGGGAGCGAAUGGG